UUGCACUGAUAAAUCAUUCAAGAAUUUCAGGCGCAAUACCUCAAUGUUCCACACCUCCGACAUGUUUUUUUCGCCAAAGGUAUUUAGCAUUCCUCCAGUGAAGUAGAGUCUCUUCAGUCGCAACAGCUUACUUGGACUUAACCAAUCUGGUAUCUUCUCUCCAGGGAAGCAGCGCAGGUCUAGCUUUUCAAGAUUUAGAGGUAGGGAAAGUGAAGUUAGCAAUGAUGUUGAAUCAUAAGUUUGAUGAACUCGCUCCUUCUUUGAAAGUGAUACAGCCCAUGUAAUUUUCAGCACACGAAGGCCUUUGAUGUU
rnacentral:lncRNA from 1 species